GAUCACGGUUUACCAACCGUGACAGUAAUUUACCAAAGAAAAGAAAGUAUGAGGCAGAACGCACGCUUGCUGUUCUCUGGUGAAUUCUCUCUUCAUGAACAACAAUGUAGAGCUGUGCACACAAUGUACAGAUACUUCUAGAGCAGAUAUGAGGGAGACUUCAGUCACGUUUGGAGCACGCUCUUUCACAGAUGUCUGUGGAUGUGGACUUCUUACAAUUGAUCUGUGUUCAGGAGCUGGUUUUCCUGAGUGCUGUAUCCUCCAGGUCAUCAUUCCUGUGGACAGAUGGGAAGACGUCACUGGUCUGCAUCAUGCUGUUACUUUAGAGAGACAAAGAAACGAGACGCAUGUUGUGACGGCACAAUUUGAACAAGGAGACGAUAUUUGCUUGAAAUGAACAAAAUUAUCAUAAUUUUUGUUCUCAAAGGGAUUGUGUUCCUUUAAAGGGACACUUUAACCACAAAUGAAAAUUGUCAUAAUUUACUCACUCACUCAUGUCCUUCCAAAUCUUUUUCAUUCCUUAAUGAAUCCAGAAAAAAUGAUCAGAGAUUCCAAGAAAAUAUUCGGCAGCACAACCAUUUCAACACAGAUAUUAAGAGAAUCAGAUCAGUAUAUUAGAAUGAUUUCUGAAGAUCAUGUGACACUGAAGACUGGAGUAAUGACUGGAGAAAAUUCAGUUUUUCUGAGUUUGAAGUGUUUUCCUGCAUUUUUUUGUGAGGUAUCUUGUCCUGUGUGUUCUGCCAUGUGUUCAGAAGACUUUAUUGAAGCACAUGCGAGUACCUGUGGGGAAAGGUUAUUAUUUUUAUUUUAUGCUUUGUGUUUUCAUGAAAUUAUUGGUUUAACCUACAGUCCUUACCAUUAGUUGUUUGUGUGUGGUAGUCAUUUUUAUUUAGCUAAAUUGAAUUUCUUUCAGAGCUGACGAUAGACCAAACCAAGAUUUCAUCAUAACGGGACAAAAGCAAGACAAGCACAAGAGAUGCAAUUAAGUCUAAUUUAUUAAUCUUUGUUUAAGUAAUAUUAGAUUAUUUGAGGGAGGGAGCACUGGAAAAAAUCUGAAGUUUUCAAUUACAGACUUUCAGAAUGACAAUUUCAGGAAGGUUUAUUAGCAUUACAGCUGGGUAAAAUAAUAUUGAUGUCUCAAUUUUAAUCGAACCGAUCUCAUCUUUACAAACUGAUUGGUAAAUCCCAAGGAUGGAUCGUCUCUUUACAGCUGAUGAAUGAACAUAACAUUAUAGCACAUCUCUCAUCCAUUAAACCACAAUAGGCUUUGUGUUUUGUUACUUUUGAUAAGAAACAAAGUCUCAGAUUUGAUUUCUGUCCAUCUUAUCUUGAAAUGUAACCAAUAAAUCUGACUGUGGUCCUCUCUAUCUAAUGCAGUGACGAUCACGCAGUGUGUCUCAGGUCAAGUGAAGCGACAGCAUGCAGCACACUUGAAAGAUCACGUCUUCCUCUGUUUUUAACACCAGUUACGGGCUACAGCGCCAAAUAAACAUGAAUGAAUGCCAAAGGGUCUGUAAACAGAUACAGGACAAUUUACUGACAUGAAUCCUGUCACAUGUAAUCGCUCAAUCAGUGCUUCAGCCGUACUUCAGAGACGUCACAAACAGCUCGUCAACAAGAUGUCAUGUUUCUCAUCAAAUCCAUAUUCAGGGACCAUCAACUUGGAUAGUUGGUGAAAUAAUGGCAGUGAGCAUUACUCAGGACGGACCUUUUUCAUGGAGUGGAUUUACAAUUUCAUUUCUUCCGGGAGAUUAAUAAAGAUGAGCUGACAUAACAGAUGCAGACCUGCUAGAUCUGAUUGACAAGAUUGAGACUGCAGACACUACAGCCUUGCUUGAGCUUUCUGAAAGAAUCGUAGCAUGUGGUACACAGGAUCCUAACAUGUGAUGAAAGGAAGACAUUGUCAGCUUUUUACAGGUUUUCCAUUGUCAUGAGAAAUAAUGAAAUAUCUGAUGUCCCUGUCACUGUUUUAAGUGCGGUGGGUUCAGUGAAGCGCAGAGAGAAUCACGGAUUGUGAACUACUUGCAGGACUUCAUUCAAAGCCUUGAAGAUGAAGGGAACUUCAUUACUCUUACUCUUAAUACUUAAAUUACAUCAGUUCAACAACGGACCGGGCGUCUGACCAGUCAGAGCAGAGAGGGCUUGUGGAAAAGACUGAAGAUUUGGAUCAUUUCACACUUUUGAAUAUAAACUUGUUGUAGGAAACCUCUAAAACAAUUGUAAAACAGUAUAUUAGGGGCACUUUAAAAAUGUGAGGUAUUGUCAGUCCAAGUUCAGAGACUGUUAACACAAGUAAGGUUGCAGACAUAGAUGUGUGUGUUUUCUGCAGAAGAAGGGAGCAGCAGUAAGGAGAGCAGGGUUGAAGAUGACAGCAAACAGGUGAUAAAACAAACUGCACUAAAGGAAAUGCAGAACAAGACAAGAUCACCGUCAGCAGUUUCAUGCAGUGGAUUACUGGUCAGGGGCAUGUCUCCAUUACUUCUGCACAUUUGAUCCUGACUGUCAGCUUCGAUAUGGUCAGCAUAGUUUCUGCUUGCCUCUAGUAAAUGCAUGUUCCUGUACUGUAACCUACACAGCAGCGAGAGACAAACACAGAGUUCCUCAGUCCCACUUUACAUGUCCCUAAACCUCCCUGUCUCUACCCCUGGAUCUAGAUCCAUCUCCUCCAACUUUAAAUAUGUCUUAACCGAGCGUCUCUGCUCGCUGGAUCUUGUGUGUUCUGCAGUGAGGGCUACUGACUAAGACAGCAUUACCAUUCCUCGUAUCUCUCAGAUCGCUCAUUAUUUGUGUGCAUCACUCCAAUCUGCCACAGCUGCUCGGGACUUCGAUUGUCCUCUGAGGAGAGUGAAUGAUGAUUCCAGGCUUCUGAACAUGUGUCCAAGUCUGCCUGAAGUCUUGGGAGAAAAGUGUAGUGCACACUGAAAAGGUCC